rnacentral:rRNA from 1 species
AUUGAACGCUGGCGGCAGGCUUAACACAUGCAAGUCGAGCGGAGAUGAGGUGCUUGCACCUUAUCUUAGCGGCGGACGGGUGAGUAAUGCUUAGGAAUCUGCCUAUUAGUGGGGGACAACAUUCCGAAAGGAAUGCUAAUACCGCAUACGUCCUACGGGAGAAAGCAGGGGAUCUUCGGACCUUGCGCUAAUAGAUGAGCCUAAGUCGGAUUAGCUAGUUGGUGGGGUAAAGGCCUACCAAGGCGACGAUCUGUAGCGGGUCUGAGAGGAUGAUCAGCCACACGGGGACUGGGCCACGGCCCAGACUCCUACGGGAGGCAGCAGUGGGGAAUAUUGGACAAUGGGGGAAACCCUGAUCCAGCCAUGCCGCGUGUGUGAAGAGGGCCUUAUGGUUGUAAAGCACUUUAAGCGAGGAGGAGGCUACUGAGACUAAUACUCUUGGAUAGUGGACGUUACUCGCAGAAUAAGCACCGGCUAACUCUGUGCCAGCAGCCGCCGUAA